UCUUGUGCACCACACAGGUCAUCGCCAAGGUAAUCAUCAGUGAGGGCAGGUUCCCCUUAGCUUAUUCUAGUUUUGGAAAUCACAGCUGUAUAUUUACCCCUGUAUUUCAGGUACAGGACAGAUCUGGCACCUCGUAUAUUUUGCAGGUUCCCUGAAGCACUUUUUGCUUAGGCUUACCUCAUCACAAACAGAUCUCAACUGCACAUCCGCAUGGACAAAAGAUGCAGGCUAAGAAACAUGAAUUUUCCCCUCCCAGAGAGUGAUCUGCACAUAUCUCUGUAUCCUGGGGACCACAGUCCUGUCUGGAAUGGGCACGGCCCUAAACACUGUGUCCCUUAUGGAGACACAGGUUUUCCAAGAAUUCCUUGUACCCACUGCUGCACACAGCAUGGACUGUAGCUCUAUUGUUUUCCUCCAAAUACAGAAGAGAUUUUAUACCACUGGGCUCACAUGAGAAGCCUCCCCCCAUGCUCUUCACUCUUUCUGCACCACUGCACCCACCAGGGAAUUUUCAUUUUGCCCCAGGGAGGACAUUCCCUGGCAAGUCUCACAUAAAAUCUGGCUCUAGCUUUGCCUUACCUGAUUAGGAUGCUUCAGUCCCAAUUCUCAUAAUGAGGCUCCCUCUUCAGCUCCUGGGGCUGCUACUGCUCUGGAUCAUUGGAUCCACAGGAGAUGUUGUCAUGACCCAGACCCCACUCUCUGUGUCUGUGGCCCUGGAGAGCUGACCUCCAUCUCCUGCAGGUUCAAUCAGAGCCUCCUACAUAGUGAUGGAAACACCUAUUUGAAUUGGGUGGUGCACAAGCCAGGCCAGGCUCCAAGCCUGUCUGCAGCUCCUGGAGAGCUUCCUGCAUCUCAGAAUAGCAAAGUUGAGGGCUGGCAAUAGUGAGCUCCUGAGACUCCAUGGAUCAUCGAGAAGUGAUGCUUCUUGAAGGGAUCUUAGUCUUACUGACUCCAUGGUGAUUAAAGAUCCUGGCUAAAAGAAACUUUAGUCCUGUGACAUCUCUCUCAUCAAUGUAGCAAGGCAAAGGUGAAGCUCUCAUCUUGGUGCAUCCCCAUUACAUCUGUGCAUGGCACCGCCCACAUCACCAGGUGCUUUACCUGAUACCAUUCAACAUGUCUGUUAUCGCAGUAAACACCUGCAUACCAAGCAAGUAAAGAAAGGCCACUUCAUAGAGAGACAACUUGAAGAUCCAGUGCAGAACUUCAACAAUUACAAGUGGUCCAUGAGACUCAUCUUCAUCGCUUCUAUGCUUCAAAGUACAGUCAGUGCUUAUUUCCAUUUGAAAGUGGAUGCAUGAAUGGAAUUAGUUAGCACAUUGCAAGUUUUUCUUCUUCAGAAACAGACUUCUUUUAAUUUGAAAUUAACUGACUGUGAAGUAGAAUAUCUGGGGAACCCUUAAUUCCUGUGGACUGAGGAUCUUCAGUGCUGACAUCUGGAAAGCACACAAAGAGGCAGCACACACAGGAGCAGCCUAGAGAGGGGCCGGGAGAUAAAAUUCUGACAGAUGGAAAGGUAAGGGACACAGUCUCAGGCACACCUCUAGGAGCUGAAGAAUCACAGAUUCCCUUCUAGAUCAUCCAGAGUGAGUUCAUCCUGACAGCAUCCUGGCUCUAUCACACUAAGGACUGAGAUGUACUUAUGACCUCCAGAACUGUAAAAUGAUGACUUUUGAAUGUUCAAGACAUAAUUGCAUACAAAGUCUUACUGUACAAAUAAAAAAGUAAUGUGAAUGUC